UUUCCGUAGGUGAACCUGCGGAAGGAUCAUUAACGAAUAACUAUGGUGUCUUGGUUGUAGCUGGCUCCUCGGAGCAAUGUGCACGCCCGCCAUUUUUAUCUUUCCACCUGUGCACCGACUGUAGGUCUGGAUGACUCUCGCACUCCGGUGCGGAUGCGAGGAUUGCUCUCGGGCUCUCCUCGAAUUUCCAGGCGCUACGUCUUUUUACACACCCCAAACGUAUGAUACAGAAUGUAGUCAAUGGGCUUGAUCGCCUAUAAAACACUAUACAACUUUCAGCAACGGAUCUCUUGGCUCUC
rnacentral:misc_RNA from 1 species